UACGGAGGGUGCAAGCGUUAUCCGGAUUCACUGGGUUUAAAGGGUGCGUAGGCGGGCAGGUAAGUCCGUGGUGAAAUCUCUGAGCUUAACUCAGAAACUGCCAUGGAUACUAUUUGUCUUGAAUAUUGUGGAGGUAAGCGGAAUUCCUGGUGUAGCGGUGAAAUGCGUAGAUAUCAGGAAGAACACCAAUGGCGAAGGCAGCUCUCUGGGACGGUACUGACGCUGAGACGCGAAAGCGUGGGGAGCGAACAGG
rnacentral:rRNA from 1 species